rnacentral:rRNA from 1 species
UACGUAGGGUGCGAGCGUUAAUCGGAAUUACUGGGCGUAAAGCGUGCGCAGGCGGUUCGUUGUGUCGGCGGUGAAAGCCCCGGGCUUAACCUGGGAAUGGCCGUUGAAACUGGCGAACUGGAGUGUGGCAGAGGGGGGUGGAAUUCCGCGUGUAGCAGUGAAAUGCGUAGAGAUGCGGAGGAACACCGAUGGCGAAGGCAGCCCCCCUGGGCUAACACUGACGCUCAGGCACGAAAGCGUGGGGAGCAA